rnacentral:rRNA from 1 species
UACGUAGGGCGCAAGCGUUGUCCGGAAUUAUUGGGCGUAAAGAGCUCGUAGGCGGUCUGUUACGUCCGCUGUGAAAACUCGGGGCUUAACUCCGGGCCUGCAGUGGGUACGGGCAGACUAGAGUGCGGUAGGGGAGACUGGAAUUCCUGGUGUAGCGGUGAAAUGCGCAGAUAUCAGGAGGAACACCGGUGGCGAAGGCGGGUCUCUGGGCCGUAACUGACGCUGAGGAGCGAAAGCGUGGGGAGCGAACAGG